AGGUUACACACGCAUCAGGUUUGUCACAUGAGAUCCUUAAGAGACGGCUGAAGAGGACCUUGAUUGGUCCUAGAACGGCCUGAGGUACAGGGGUUUUAGUCAGUAGGUCCAAGGACUUCUUCCUCGGAAAUCCGACACCACCCAGUCGUAUGGACGGCUGGGUGUCUUUUGAAGAUUUCCUCUCCUCCACGAAA
rfam:Agrilus planipennis Contig40875, whole genome shotgun sequence.